rnacentral:rRNA from 1 species
CUUGACACUGAACACUGGUCCUUGAUGUGUAGGAUAGGUGGGAGGCUUUGAAGCGUGGACGCCAGUCUGCGUGGAGCCGUCCUUGAAAUACCACCCUUUAAUGGCUGGUGUUCUAACGUGGACCCGUAAUCCGGGUUGCGGACAGUGUCUGGUGGGUAGUUUGACUGGGGCGGUCUCCUCCCAAAGAGUAACGGAGGAGCACGAAGGUUAGCUAAUCCUGGUCGGACAUCAGGAGGUUAGUGCAAUGGCAUAAGC